CCCAGAGAGUAUAAAGAGGAAAGAAGCCUUCAGACACGAUGAGUUUAACAACAGUAACUCUAGUAUUACAAGUAAAGUCUCGGCGCAUGGCUUCGGAUUACAGUGGCGUUCCUGAAAACGCAGCUGCGGAUACAGUCUCCCCAUUUGUUUUUAAAGCGAAUCUGGAGGAGGGCGACUUUUCCGGCCACUCUGCUCACCCCCUCACUUCCCAGGCCUAUCGAGGUUGAUGUGGAGAAACGCGGAAAUAUCGAAAGCAAUUAGAGUGGCAUGCUCUCGCUGGGGUCAUCAGUCACUCGGUUGGUACAGACGCCCAAUAAUUGCGGAGAGCGAAAUCUCGGUCAAGUCCAGGCCGGUGGUGCACCGCGCUGCCGAGCGAUAAUCGAGUCGCGCACCGCGGGCCCCCUGGGCGCCGGGCCCAGGGAAUUAGGGCGGAAGGAGGAGAAAUGCCUUCGACCUGGGCAGAGAGCCACCCUGAGCUCCUGGUGCCGCCGCCCCGACCCAGGCCUGCAGACAAAGACCGAAAUGAAGGGCCACGGAGAAGAAGCAGGGCUGCGUGGUGCGGAACAGGCGAGGUGCAAGGAUACAAGCCCAGCUUAGACACGUCCAAAGCAGCCCCGAAGAUCUCAGGCCUUGGAAACAGAAUGCGAAAUCGAGUCUCGUUCAGUUUGAAACCUCGCUCCGGGUGCGUGCUCUUCGGCAACAGGCGACCUGAAUGGAUUUCGAAUCAAGAAGUAAAAUCCCUAAAGAGCACCUGCCACGGCCCGAGGCCGAGCCCUUCUGCCCGGACAAGAAACAACUCCGAGAAAAUCAACCAACCAACAAAAAGCAAAACCAAACAACAAUAACAACAACAAGGAACAAAAUGAGAGGAAAGAAAGUGGGGGCGACCGUGUGCUCGUGAAGUAACUAACCCGGGCGCGAGGAGAGCUCCCUCUCUGGGAAAGGAGGCGCCUCGCAAUUCUAGGCUCGCUGGGACAGGUUCUGGGCAGGUUCGGGGCGCGGCGCCCAGGUGUCGCUCGGGUCCCGGGAUGGGGGUGAGGGGAGGAUCGUGGGCCUCACACACUGCGGUCCAGUCUGCCUUGCCUAGUGGGAUGGGGAGGGGGAUGCGCGCUCCCCGCGUUGCCUAGGAAUGACCCAGAGGUGACUCGGUCCGACCACCGGGCCUGAAGACUAUUUAAGCCACUGAACACCACGCUUCACCCCGCAGGGGAGAGGUAAAGCGCCCGGGAAGUUGUCGCGGUUUUGGAGGUGGAGGUGGGGGGAGCCCUAUCCUGGAUUUCCUCUCCGUGCGUCCGCAGCGCCCGCCUGGCCGCUGGCGCACGCGGGCCCGGGGGCGUUUACCCGCUCGCCGGUGACCCUCCCUUCUAGAAUCAGCAGUCUCCAGUUCUCCUCUAGCUCUCUCUGGACUCCCCUCCCCACCCUCGCCACUGCAUUCGGGUGGAUGAGGGGAUGUCUUUUUGGAACUUCAAGACCGAGACCCCAGGAGCGCCCCGGGAGGAGGUUUCCUCCAAGGAUCGAGGAAAGCCGGGUCUUGCCUCCCGCUCUCGUCCGGGUCUGAGUAGGCAGCGGAAUACGUGGGGAACGUCUGCCUCCCGGCUCGCGUCUUAUCGUAUCCCGAGCGGUGGUUUUUAGGGGAUAAUUCCAAGUGACUUUUGCCUGCGACCUGUGAUCCCCCGCAGCGCGGAGAGGACUCACGCCCCAGAGAGGGAGGGAGGGGGCGCUGUAGCUCCGGCGCAGGACCCUGGUCCCGGGAGGCGGGAGGAGGGCCCACACUGACGCCUUCUGCGCGCGGAGCCGGUUCCUGAGUGCGGUCGUCCCGCCCACACUCGUCUCUCUUCAGGAGAGGGUACUCGGCUCUACCCUCUGCGGCGCGUCAGCAAGUGCCCAGAGUCAGAGCCGAGGAUUCCCGGGGCAGCCCGGGCUUGGGAACUUUUCUUCAGUCGAAAACUUUCCCUCCCUGGCUCCCAUCCCCCAAGUCCCCAGUUUUGGGGGAACCUGGGCGCCUAGCGGGGA
rnacentral:lncRNA from 1 species